GCCAGGCGUGGUGGCUCAUGCCUAUAAUCCCAGCUACUAGGGAGGCUGAGGCAGGAGAAUCGCUUGAACCCGGGAGGUGGAGGUUGCAGUGAGCUGAGAUUGUGCCACUGCACUCCUGCCUGGGCAACAGAGUGAGACCCUGUCUCAA
rnacentral:SRP_RNA from 1 species